rnacentral:rRNA from 1 species
UACGGAGUUACAAAGGAACGAGGUAGACGAAGCGACCUGGAAAGGUCCGUCGUAGAGGGUAACAACCCCGUAGUCGAAACUUCGUUCUCUCUUGAAUGUAUCCUGAGUACGGCGGAACACGUGAAAUUCCGUCGGAAUCUGGGAGGACCAUCUCCCAAGGCUAAAUACUCCCUAGUGAUCGAUAGUGAACCAGUACCGUGAGGGAAAGGUGAAAAGCACCCCGGAAGGGGAGUGAAAGAGAUCCUGAAACCGUGUGCCUACAAAUAGUCAGAGCCCGUUAACGGGUGAUGGCGUGCCUUUUGUAGAAUGAACCGGCGAGUUACGAUCCCGUGCGAGGUUAAGCUGAAGAGGCGGAGCCGCAGCGAAAGCGAGUCUGAAUAGGGCGUUUAGUACGUGGUCGUAGACCCGAAACCAGGUGAUCUACCCAUGUCCAGGGUGAAGUUCAGGUAACACUGAAUGGAGGCCCGAACCCACGCACGUUGAAAAGUGCGGGGAUGAGGUGUGGGUAGCGGAGAAAUUCCAAUCGAACCUGGAGAUAGCUGGUUCUCCCCGAAAUAGCUUUAGGGCUAGCCUUAAGUGUAAGAGUCUUGGAGGUAGAGCACUGAUUGGACUAGGGGUCCUCAUCGGAUUACCGAAUUCAGUCAAACUCCGAAUGCCAAUGACUUAUCCUUAGGAGUCAGACUGCGAGUGAUAAGAUCCGUAGUCAAAAGGGAAACAGCCCAGACCGCCAGCUAAGGUCCCAAAGUGUGUAUUAAGUGGAAAAGGAUGUGGAGUUGCUUAGACAACUAGGAUGUUGGCUUAGAAGCAGCCACCAUUUAAAGAGUGCGUAAUAGCUCACUAGUCGAGUGACUCUGCGCCGAAAAUGUACCGGGGCUAAAUACACCACCGAAGCUGCGGAUUGAUACCAAUGGUAUCAGUGGUAGGGGAGCGUUCUAAGGACAGUGAAGUCAGACCGGAAGGACUGGUGGAGUGCUUAGAAGUGAGAAUGCCGGUAUGAGUAGCGAAAGACGGGUGAGAAUCCCGUCCACCGAAUGCCUAAGGUUUCCUGAGGAAGGCUCGUCCGCUCAGGGUUAGUCAGGACCUAAGCCGAGGCCGACAGGCGUAGGCGAUGGACAACAGGUUGAUAUUCCUGUACCACCUCUUUAUCGUUUGAGCAAUGGAGGGACGCAGAAGGAUAGAAGAAGCGUGCGAUUGGUUGUGCACGUCCAAGCAGUUAGGCUGAUAA